rnacentral:lncRNA from 1 species
AUGGUGAGGGUGACAUCCGUGUCAGACCUAUGGCCAAUGAUGACAAUGAGAGUCCUGACCAAAAGAUGGAAACUGGAUAAGUGCCUGUUGUCUUCCGUGUUUGCAUGCUCUUACCCUGACAACAAGCCAGCCAACAUGAGGGAUUUUCUCUGUCCAAUUCUGAAAAACUCAGUAACAGUUCCAACUCUACGACACUUUGGAAUUACAGGUUCUUAUGGUUGGUGAUUGGACCAGACAUUUGCCAAAGGCAGAAGAAAGAGUUCUGAAGGGAUCA